UGAGGAACAUGACCUUCGGCGGGGGAGUAGCCGGCCCAACGGCCGGGUAAUACCGCGUACGACCACAUGGGGACAUCCCUGAGUGGUGAAAGCAGCAAUGCGCCGAUGGAGUGCCUCGCGGCCUAUCAGCUAAUUGGUGAGGUAACGGCUCACCAAGGCGACGACGGGUAGCUGGUCUGAGAGGAUGGCCAGCCCACUAGUUGGGACUGAGACCACCGGCCCAGACCUCGUACCGGGGAGG
rnacentral:rRNA from 1 species